rnacentral:rRNA from 1 species
AAGCGUACGCGACAACGUCUGGCGGCCCCAUCACUAUAUCCAUACCAACCCCUGUGCAUUGUGAUGACGAAUGUCAUCGAACAAAAAAAACUCGUAUGGUUGAAUGUACGUGAAAUUGUAGGUAUAGCCUACGAACUAUACACAACUUUCGACAACGGAUCUCUUGGUUCUCCCAUCGAUGAAGAACGCAGCGAAACGCGAUAGGUAAUGUGAAUUGCAGAAUUCCGUGAAUCAUCGAAUCUUUGAACGCACCUUGCGCUCCAUGGUAUUCCGUGGAGCAUGCCUGUUUGAGUGCCGCGAAUUCUCCCUCCCCUUACGGUGGCCGAAAGGCCGAAGUAGGGCGGACGGGGUAGGAUGGGUGUUGCUGCCUGGGGAUUGUACCAGGCUCGCCCGAAAUGCAUAAGCGCCAGGACCCUCGCUACCGCUCUCUAGGGAAGAGUGGCUAAGCGACCGCUGAGCAUGGCAUGAUACGUCAUUUGCUGUGUGUGGGCGGCCGGUUGGAGAGGUGUCUGCUUUACCAGCCCUUUUUUUAAUUUCUGGUUCUUCCAA